ensembl:sense_intronic Gm37529 predicted gene, 37529
AAAUAGUGUUUUAAAAUUUUCCAAAAAGAGAACACCGUCCAUAUUUUGGAUACUAGGAAUUAGAAUAUGCUGUUAUCAAGUAUAUUGGCAGGGCACAGAAGCAUGUAUACUUUGGUCAAAGAGAAUAAGUAAGGCAUAAGAUUGUGAGGAGACAUGGCCAGAUUUAAAUUCUAGAUUCUAAUUUCUAAGUGGCAAAAUUCAAAACAUCAUUCUUCUCCCUUCAAAAUCACACAAAUGUGCUAGGACAAAAGACAAAGAAUAUAGUCCUCAUGUCAAAGAAAGCAGGAAAUAUAUGUAGCCCAAAAAACCCCACAUGUGUUGAAGGGCCAGAGAAAUGCACAUGAUAAAAGUGCCCAUGGCUGUUCAACUCAAACAGAGAUGACAGAGUUCUCAGAGAAACAAUGCCAACAAUGUUCAUAGGCACAUCCUAGGCCUUCAGUAUCCUUAAAGAAGCCUAGCAGGGGCCAGUGAAGACUCUCCCAAAUAACAUCCAAAACAAAUCGAGACCAAAAGGUAGAGAUUGCAUCUUUUUUUAAAGGUCUUUCUUUGUUCUUUUCUUUUUCUUUUUUUCUUUUUUUGUUUGUUUUGUUUGUUUUUCAAGACAGGAUUUCUCUGUGUAGCCCUGGCUGUCCUAAAACUCACUCUGUAGACCAGGCAGGUGGAUCUGUGAGUUUGAGGCUAGCCAGGUCUACAAAGUGAGUUCCAGGACAGCCAGGACUACAGAGAGAAAUUCUAUCUUGGGGAAAAACAAACAACCAAACAAACAAAUAAAUGAACAAAAAAAUAGAGAGUCUCCCUGACCCUGAAGAAAGCUGUUUCAGUAUAACUGAAGGACCAGUAAGCCUUCAGGAUUCGCCUGCCUGCCUGCCGUCCAUGCCGACACUCACUCAGCAGGACCCACUGUGGACGCUUUCUGCAGGGAUGCUGUGGUCAGACCCAGGUCCUCAGGCCUCCUUGGCAAGCACGUGCACACUCAGCUUUUCUCCUGCCCCCAUUUCCAAUCCCACAGAAACCUCAGGCUUCUUAUGGUUUGAACAAGGCCUGUAUGUUUGCUUGUUUGUUUAUCUAAUAAACUGCUUGUUGGGAAGAAAGUAGUACACUUCAGGUCCCAUAUUACCCACGAGUUAAGGUUCAACAACCUCACAUAAGAGUGCUCUUAUUGCUAAGACACUCAGGGUAGUGCAGCACCAGGCUUUAUUAAGCAGAGACCUCUCAUUGUUAAAAGUGAGAUGAUUCCCUUAGAAGCUAUACACACUGCCAAAGGGAAUUAUGACCGAGAACAUGUUUUUGGUGAAUAGAUGCCAAAUACCCUUCUCACCUGAUGAUUACUGUUGUAAUAUUUGCCCAUUAGCUACUUUCAGCUCAGGAAAUAGAUUAGACCCUUAAUAGCCUAUGCAAUCAGGAAAUGAGCAACAUAUUUAUAGAUUCCACUAGUGAAUUUGAAAUAAAACUUCCUGCCUUUUAAAAAUGAAGGCUCCUGCCUAGAGAGAUGGCUCACUGCUUAAGCACACUUGCUGUUCUUUCAGGAGACCCCAAUUCAGUUCCCAGCACCCAUAUGAGACAACUUCCAGCCAUCCUAUAUAGAGUAACUGUAGGAACAACAUUAAGAGUAACUGUCCUAUAGACAGGCCAAAAGCAAGCCAUGUUUUUAGCUUUCCUUGGGGCCUUAAGGACCACCAAGGCUGGUUUUCAUCUGAAGUUGACCACUGUGAAGCUCUGUGGUUUGGGAACUGUGGUAUUAAAGCAGCUGAGUUAGAGGACCCAGAAGGCUCGCCCAGCCCUUAUACCACCUGGGUCCAAAUCUGUCAUUUCUUAGAUUCCUGAAUUCUGCCUUUUCAGCCUUGCUUUCUGUACCCGCUAAAGACAAAAACUCUUGGGAAAGAAAAUUUAAAUGGCAUAAUGUUUUUAAAAGAAAGGUUCAAGUCAAAGUGCUUUGAAAACACAUGAUUCUGAAGGUUGUAUUUUUUAAAGGUGUUGGAUUCUCUCUCUCUCUCUAUUUUCUCUCUCUCUCUCUCUCUCUCUCUCUCUGUGUGUGUGUGUGUGUGUGUAGACAAAUGCACGUGUUUUCAUUAUAUAUAUAAAAUUUAUACUAUUGCUAUAGCCCAUUGAUAAAAAUUAUAAUAGGUUGUAAAACUACGGGCCAUUAAAAUCUUGAACCUGCAUGUAUAUCAUUAUGUAUUGCUUGUUGACUCUUUUAUUCUUAACCCAGACAAUCGGACCUUCACAACAAAAUUGGGUUUUGUCAGAGGCAUUAUUAUUACUGUUAUUACUAUAAAAAAGAAAAGCACCCAGCCACCCACUAUCUGAUAACAAGUGCCCCAUCUAAGGAGUUCAGUUUGAAUAAUUUGAGUAUGGCUGCUGACUUCAUUCUGUAUGAGCAGUAGCCUAGCAAGUGUCUAGCACCAAGUUUGAUUCCCAGCACCAUACACACAGUUUGAAUAAUUCUUUCAUAAAUAACAAUUCUUAGCAGUGUGAUUUAAAAUGCUGUAAAAGUAGUUUAAGUAGAUUUGGCUUCUCUCCCAUGCUGCUGUCUUAAAAUAAAGUAUGUCACAUGGCAUAUUGAUUACAGAAUUCAAGGCCAAUUACAUCCCAGAAACAAAACACUUCUUUCUCUCCCAUUAUGAUAUUCGUCACUAAUAUGUUUCCCUGUGAUUAUUUGUAAAAGCUGGCUUCAUCUAGUUUCUCCAUUAAGUUCUAUUCAAAGUAGACUUUAAAAGUAUUUUAGGAAAACUGGCCUGAUUGUCUUUACCUGCAACCCCAACUUGGGCAACUUAGUUAUACCGUGUCUUAAAAUAAAACAACAACAACAGUUUGAGGAUGAAGCUCAAUGCUCAAUACUUGUCUUUUAUAGCAACCUGGGCUCAGUCUCCACUGUGUAGGUAGGAUUUGGGGGAACACAAGGAGGAAAUCAUUUAGUGAAUAAAGGGGUUGGGAAUUGUUACCUGGUUCCAUAUACAUAUGGUUUCGAAUACAAUAAUAAAAAGUGAAAUAGCUAGGCAUAGUGGCACAUGCCUGCAAUUAUAGUAUCUGGAAGCUGAGGCAGGAGGAUUGUAAGCUGAAGGCCAGACAACCUGGCAUACAGAAAUUUAUGGCAAUUUUAUGGGGGUGGGUCCAUAGCAAGAUGCCAUCUCAAAUAAAAACAAAACAAAACAAAACAAAACAAAACAAAACAGGAAAGGAAGUCUGGGGAGGUAGCUCACUGGGCCACAUAAGCAUGAGGACCUGAGUUCAGGUCCUCUGGGUUACUACAUAAAGCCACCCCACAGCACUGUAAUACCAGUGUGUCUGUGGACAGACGGAAGGUAACGACAGGAGAAUCCUGGAGCUCACAGGCCUUGUGCACACCGCACUGAUCAAUAGAUCUCACUGAGGGGAAAGCAGACUCACACCCAGGGUUGUUUUUGUUCUUCACAUGCACUGUGGUUGUACCUCUAUUCACACACAAACACACACAUGAACAUACAUAUGUGUACAUGGUAGAACUAUCUACUCUCUAACAAUUUCAGUAGACAACAUGGUUCCAGUGAUAAUCACCAUACUGUAUUUUUCAUCCUCAAAAUCUAACCAUUCAGACAGGGCAUCAUGGCACAUGCCUGCAAUCUUAGUACUUGGGAUGUGGGAACAGACUGUGUUAUAACUGAGAGUGUGUGCCCUUAGACCAAUAUCUUCCCAUUGCUCUCUACCCUCAAAGUCUGGCAACCAGCCUUCUGUGAGAUUGAUAUUCUUACAUUAUACAUAUAAUUGAUAUCAGACAGUAUCUUUUCAUUGUGGUAGCUUAUUUCAUCUAGCAUAAUGUCCUCCAGGGUCAUCUAGUUUCUUUCAAAUGGCAGAGUUUUUCUUUUUAAUGAAUAGCCAACUAACAUGUUUAAGCAUAUAAAUAUGCUAUAUAUACAUAGAUAUGUGAAUGCUAGUAUACACAUACCCAACUUAUAUGUAUAAGUAUAUAUAUAUAUAUAUAUAUGAAUCACACACACACGCAUUCUUGUAUACCACAUAUCCUGCAUGUAGCCACCCAUUAACUGGCACUUAAGUUGAUUCUUGGUUAUUGUGAAUAAUGCUUCAAUGAACAUGGAAGUGUGGCUAUCCUUUCAAGAUACUGAGUUCACAGGGCAUGGUGGAAUGUUCCUUUAAUCCCAGUACUGAGGAGGCAGAUAUCUGUCAGUUCAAGUCCAGCCUAGUCUACAUAGUAAGUUCUAGGCUAGUCAAUGCUGCCCUGUUUCAAAGAAGAAAAGAAAGAGAGAAAGAAAGAGAGAAAGAAGAGAAGAGAAGAGAAAAAAGAAAAGAAAG